UACAGAGGGUGCAAGCGUUAAUCGGAAUUACUGGGCGUAAAGCGCGCGUAGGCGGUCGAGUAAGUCGGAUGUGAAAUCCCCGGGCUUAACCUGGGAAUUGCAUUCGAUACUGCUUGGCUAGAGUGUGGAAGAGGGAAGCGGAAUUUCCGGUGUAGCGGUGAAAUGCGUAGAUAUCGGAAGGAACACCAGUGGCGAAGGCGGCUUCCUGGUCCAACACUGACGCUGAGGCGCGAAAGCGUGGGGAGCGAACAGGAUUAGAAACCCGAGUAGU
rnacentral:rRNA from 1 species